rnacentral:rRNA from 1 species
CCGGCACGGGUGAGUAACACGUAUCCAACCUGCCGUCUACUCCUGGCCAGCCUUCUGAAAGGAAGAUUAAUCCAGGAUGGCAUCAUGAGUUCACAUGUCCGCAUGAUUAAAGGUAUUUUCCGGUAGACGAUGGGGAUGCGUUCCAUUAGAUAGUAGGCGGGGUAACGGCCCACCUAGUCAACGAUGGAUAGGGGUUCUGAGAGGAAGGUCCCCCACAUUGGAACUGAGACACGGUCCAA